rnacentral:rRNA from 1 species
AGAGUUUGAUUCUGGCUCAGGAUGAACGCUGGCGGCGUGCUUAACACAUGCAAGUCGAACGAGGUCCAACCUUCGGGUGAAGACCGAGUGGCGAACGGGUGAGUAACACGUGGGGAACCUGCCCUUCUCUCUGGGAUAACCUCGGGAAACCGAAGCUAAUACCGGAUACUCCUUGCGGACCGCAUGGUCUGCUCGGGAAAGCUCCGGCGGAGAAGGAUGGCCCCGCGGCCCAUUAGCUUGUUGGUGGGGUAACGGCCCACCAAGGCGACGAUGGGUAGCCGAGCUGAGAGGCUGAUCGGCCACACUGGGACUGAGACACGGCCCAGACUCCUACGGGAGGCAGCAGUGGGGAAUCUUGCGCAAUGGGCGAAAGCCUGACGCAGCAACGCCGCGUGCGGGAUGAAGGCUCUCGGGUCGUAAACCGCUUUCAGCAGGGAUGAAAAUGACAGUACCUGCGGAAGAAGCCCCGGCUAAAUACGUGCCAGCAGCCGCGGUAAUACGUAUGGGGCAAGCGUUAUCCGGAUUCAUUGGGCGUAAAGCGCGCGUAGGCGGCUUGUUAAGUCAGGCGUGAAAUCCGGGGGCUCAACCCGCGGCUUGCGUCUGAAACUGGCAGGCUUGAGUCUGGUAGAGGAAAGUGGAAUUCCUGGUGUAGCGGUGAAAUGCGCAGAUAUCAGGAGGAACACCAGUGGCGAAGGCGGCUUUCUGGGCCACGACUGACGCUGAGGCGCGAAAGCUAGGGGAGCGAACAGGAUUAGAUACCCUGGUAGUC